CGGCUCAGUAACACGUGGAUAACCUACCCUCAGAUCUGGGAUAACUCCGGGAAACUGGAGAUAAUACCGGAUAAUCCGUGAACGCUGGAAUGCCUUACGGUUGAAAGCUUUAGCGUCUGAGGAUGGGUCUGCGGCCGAUUAGGUAGUUGCUGGGGUAACGUCCCAACAAGCCGAUAAUCGGUACGGGUUGUGAGAGCAAGAGCCCGGAGAUGGAUUCUGAGACACGAAUCCAGGUCCUACGGGGCGCAGCAGGCGCGAAAACUUUACACUGCGCGAAAGCGCGAUAAGGGGACCUCGAGUGCGUGCGCAAUGCGUACGCUUUUCAGAUGCCUAAAAAGCAUCUGGAAUAAGGGCCGGGCAAGACCGGUGCCAGCCGCCGCGGUAACACCGGCGGCUCAAGUGGUGGCCGCUAUUAUUGGGCUUAAAGGGUCCGUAGCCGGACCAGUUAGUCCCUUGGGAAAUCUUACGGCUUAACCGUGAGGCUGCCAAUGGAUACUGCUGGUCUUGGGACCGGGAGAGGCAAGAGGUACCUCAGGGGUAGGAGUGAAAUCCUGUAAUCCUUGAGGGACCG
rnacentral:rRNA from 1 species